UCUACCUAUUUCUGCAAGUCACUCUGGAUAAGAGUGUCUGCUAAAUGACCAAAA
rfam:Salmo salar isolate Sally breed double haploid chromosome ssa06, whole genome shotgun sequence.